rnacentral:rRNA from 1 species
AACGAACGCUGGCGGCGCGCUUAACACAUGCAAGUCGAACGAGAAGGCGUAGCAAUACGCUUGUACAGUGGCGAACGGGUGAGUAAUACGUGGGCGACCUACCCUCGAGUGGGGAAUAACCCGCCGAAAGGCGGGCUAAUGCCGCGUACGCUUCCAUCUUUAUGGAGGUGGAAGGAAAGCCGUGCCGUGGGCACGGCGCUCAAGGAUGGGCUCACGUCCUAUCAGCUUGUUGGAGGGUAACGGCCUACCAAGGCUCCGACGGGUAGCUGGUCUGAGAGGACGAUCAGCCACACUGGCACUGCGACACGGGCCAGACUCCUACGGGAGGCAGCAGUGAGGAAUAUCGCGCAAUGGGCGAAAGCCUGACGCAGCGACGCCGCGUGGGGGAUGAAGGUCUUCGGAUUGUAAACCCCUUUCGGGAGGGAAGAUGGGACGGGCAACCGUUCGGACGGUACCUCCAGAAGCAGCCACGGCUAACUUCGUGCCAGCCGCCGCGGU